GGAAAUUAAUCAGAUAGCUUUAAGGUCAAAUGUUGGAGAGAGACUACCUAUCACUAAACCCUCUAAAACUAGAUAAGGUUUUAAAUAUGAACAACACCUACUGCCUACUUAUUAAAAGCACACACAUAGUUGACAUCCUCAACAUUCAUGGAUUAUCAAACACAAAACUAUAAAAUUAUGGGUGUUGCAUCAUACAAUGUCAAGCAUUGUAACAGUAAACUUUGGUGAAAAUU
rnacentral:misc_RNA from 1 species